rfam:Rhizopogon vesiculosus strain AM-OR11-056 contig76372, whole genome shotgun sequence.
GGGCAUUUAGCGCAGUGGUAGCGCGUAUGCUUUGCAUACUUGCAUGUAUAAGGUCCAGAGUUCAAUCCUCUGAAUGUCCA